UUUUAAAACUAGUUUAACAAAAACUGUAAAACCAUUUACAAGUCAAUCAACGAUUGCAAUUUACAGGAACACUAUGUUUACAUUUCUACUAACCUUUCUUUCCAAUUUUCUUUUCU